CCUUGUUAAAAAUACAAAUCUACAGGUCCCCUCUCAGAUCUUCUGAGUCAGAAAAUCUGGAGCUGGAACCCAGGAAUCUGCAUUUUAAC
rnacentral:miRNA from 1 species